AGCGAACGCUGGCGGCAGGCUUAACACAUGCAAGUCGAGCGGGCACUUCGGUGUCAGCGGCAGACGGGUGAGUAACACGUGGGAACGUACCCUUUGGUUCGGAAUAACGCUGGGAAACUAGCGCUAAUACCGGAUACGCCCUUUUGGGGAAAGGCUUGCUGCCGAAGGAUCGGCCCGCGUCUGAUUAGCUAGUUGGUGGGGUAAUGGCCUACCAAGGCGACGAUCAGUAGCUUGUCUGAGAGGAUGAUCAGCCACACUGGGACUGAGACACGGCCCAGACUCCUACGGGAGGCAGCAGUGGGGAAUAUUGGACAAUGGGCGCAAGCCUGAUCCAGCCAUGCCGCGUGAGUGAUGAAGGCCUUAGGGUUGUAAAGCUCUUUUGUCCGGGACGAUAAUGACGGUACCGGAAGAAUAAGCCCCGGCUAACUUCGUG
rnacentral:rRNA from 1 species